UACACUUUUGUAUCACCAUAUUAUAUUUAUUCUUCGUAAUCGUGAUCAUAACAUUCGAUUUGGUGACACCAAAAAAAGUCUGUGACGGAACUCUGGUAGAAGUAUUAUUUACUAUAUUUUUUCAAGCAGGAAAUUUCUUGGAAUUACCCUCGAGUCCGGGCCCCUCUGAAAACUCCGGGCCCGGGGGAAAAGUACCCGAUCGCCCCCCCUCUCGUCGGGCCUGGUUCUAGUGCUCCGAUCUUUAUGAUUUUUUGAAUUUAUAUUUUUAAGAUGAUGUACUUUUAGAAUAGGCCUUAAACAAAUUUUCCAUUUUUUAGUCCAACACAAGGUAUAUAACCCCUUAAUAAUUUUGUGCAGUGUGGUGUACAAAACAAUCAGGAAUGUGCAGUGCAACGAGACAUUUCUCACAUUUCCAUACAGUCUCGCGCGUACCUGAUAUCUUCAUGGAGACUUUGGUUUACUUUGUGCAGGAGGAAUUUUUCUUGGGAAAAUGUUACCACAGGGAAAAUGUUGCCUAUAAACGCAAUGGUGUAUUAUUGAAAGAAAUCCUUCCGCGUGUUGAAUAUUCACGAAUAUUUACAUUUUGUAGAAAUUCUUCUGCAAUUUUCAACCGAAAUUUUGAGAAUGAAUAUUUCUUAGAAUUUGGAAUUUGUUUUGCUAACUAUGCGAAAUAAAGAUGCUUUUUUACGUUAAUUCAGCAGGCAUACAUUGCACAUCAUUGCCAGUCUGGAGCAGAUAACAAACCGUCGUGCAUUGCAUGUCUUUCCUAGAAAUCCAGAAUCUCGUAGAAAUCCUUCAUUAGGUGUUUGAUUGAGCUUCUCUUCCAUUUUUUGGUGUGUGUCUUGUCUUGUUGCUAAAAUACGAAGCGGUCUUAUGCCCUCUCGAAAAGCAGAUGAUAGAGUUUUGUGGAUGAAAUAAACUCGGAUAGAUUUUUUUGUAGCGCCAAGGGAUUGAUAAAAAUAUUUUCUUUUGAUCUUUCAAGUUCACAGUUCUUGAGUGUCCCACAGAUCCGCUUCUGCUGGAUCGCAUAUCUCAUUCAAAUUCUAACGUAAAAGUUUCAAAUAUUAGUGUCAUACUUUUAAAGCUACCCGCUCAUACUAUGUAGCUUUGCAAAAGCUCUAAACCUCUAUGUUUAAAUGGAAAGCUUCGAAUACUUGUAAAACUAUUCAUGUAAAACCACCCUUAACAGCAGAAUAUGUGCAUAACGGCAAUCUACCCCGACUGUUUCGAUUUCCCCAGCCAUAUUUCGUGGGGUUAUUAUCUUCACCGCGCCUGCGCAUUCGCCAUUCGGAGUCGAACGUCAUCAUCAGACCUUCGUACAAUUUUCUGCUAUAUGUGUCAAUGGGUUUGUUUUUGCCAUGUGGGAGGCAGAUGGGGUGGCAUUGUCCAUAGCGUACGUGUUGACUGUCGGUAUGCAGCGCUGCUUUGGCGCCGCGAUGGGGCGAGUGCGGACAUUCUCACCUGUACAGCGCUGUUUGAUUUCCCCUUCGUCAGUUGGCCGGCCUGUGAGUGCGUGUGUGUAUGCUGUGUGUCGGAAAUGUGCAAGCAGGUGUAACAAUUAUUUUCUCGUUGAUUUUGCUUUGACGCAUGUGCUUCUAUUGAUGUCUGUAAGUGUGCUCAUGCAUGCAUCUCAUUCGCACCUAUUAUCGACUCUAUCUGUCUCGGUUAUUUGGCAUAGUAAUAUUAUUACCCCAACAAUAACAAUGAAACGCAGCGGCAAAGGCAAGCAUCAAUAGCAAAGCGGGCGGGCAGCAUAAGCGUGUUUCCACACAAUGCGGGCGUUUUGUCGUUUUUGAAAAGCGAUGCGAUGCAAUGAGAUGUGGCACGAAGGUGAAAGCCGAAUAAUGGCAAGCUCUGUCGUACCGUUAUCAUUGCUACAAUGGGCACAACCCCCAUGCACAGCCGACCAAGCAUACCUUCUAAAGGAAAAUGCUCGGUUUUCCGACAGUAGCAACUUAGUGCGGGGUAACGCUACACGACAAUGUUUAAGCUAUGACGCAUGCCAUGAUUUUUCAGGACCAACCAGCCGUUCGAACCAAGUGGGUUCGUGUGCACGGCGUGGAUAGGGGUGACGUGGCGGAGCGUGAUAGUCGCAAUAGUGAAUUCAACAGGAUUAUUUCACAUGUAGCCUUCGUGUUGUCGCUGUUAUCGCAAGGUGAAUGGAAACGCUUUCCCUCUCGUUGGCGAUAGCGAAUGUUCAACAACCGGACGCUUUUUGAUAAUAUGAAAUUGCAUGUGAGAGGGGAGGUUGUGUACGUCGUUAGGCAUGAUAUGCGAUUGUUGAUUAUUUAACUUUAGGUUUCCGUGCUGUUAUGUUAUCUGUUAAUAAAUAUGGAUUGUUGGUGUACGUAUGUACAUAUGUAUGUACGUACGAUACUUUAGGAAACAAGACGAACUUAAGAAGAACAAAGAUUAUGAUAGUUGUUCAAACUAAGCUUCGAAAUGACAAUAAUACAAUGUAAUCCAUGGAUAAAAAAUGGUUCUAUUAAAAUUCAUUCGUGUAUUAUGAUUUCGGGUAUACAUUAGAGCUACUGUCAAAUUGAACACGUGUUUUGUAUUUAUACAUUUAACAAUACUCAUUUACACUUCAAAAACUCUAACUCUAACUCCUCCAAUAAAACAAAAUAUAUUAUUAUAUUUGUUUUCCAAUUUCCAAUAGUUGUCAAACUCAGAUCUUAGAGGCGACCUUCAGUUCACGCUACGAUUCAUAUUGAAGACCUUCUGGAAUUCAAAUGGCAGUUUUUUUAGUGGUCUUGUUUAGUUUGUGAAAGAGACAAAAGUCGCAUACAGAGGUGGAGAAAAUAUAUGAGCUGGGUUCUUGUCGAAAUGAUCGCGAGCAAUGGUCGUAAGAGAAGAUUCGUUGUUUGUGAGUAGUUCUUCAAUCCAUAGUGAGUUCAAUCCAUGGCAUCCACUUUUCCUAAACUAGACAUGCUUGCAUAAAGGAGUUUGUCGUUCCAUCUAUUAGGUUCAGUUGCCGAACUCCGUCAGAGUAAAAGUAACCACAGGUCGUUUUACUCUCGCACAGUGCGAGGUCCCAAAAUAAUACAACCUUGGACAGCAAUUUAGAAACGCAAUAUUUGUACCUGUUUUGACUACUUUUCAUUUGUGUUUUUGUUAUUGAUCUAUUUUUUAUAAAAAUAUAGUUUAUUCCACAAAAAAUAUCAUACCGAAAUGUCAAACUUAGUAAAAGAUUUAUAAAAAUUUAAUACUUGAAAUUUUUUUGUUGAUGGUGUUAUGCAUUUUCAUUUUUUUUUAUAUUUUGCCAUUUUUGAAAAGCACUGUUUCACUGAAUGUGAUAAUAACUCGAAUAUAACUUCAAUCGUUUUGGGGAACCCAGCAAUGGAACUCAGUAUAAUCUCAGGUAUUAGUGAAAAAAUUGGUUGUCUUUUGUUCAAAUAUUAAAUUAUUUUUCCUAAAAACAAAAAAAUACAAUUUUUUUCAAAAAACCAAAUUUUUUAAAACUAUAAUUUUUCAUAAUUAUUUCAAAAUUAAAAAAGAUAGUUAAAUGGUAAACUGGUCUGAAGAUAAGCAUCAAUUCAAAACCCUUGUCUCAUUAAAAAAAACGCAAACAAACUUUAACUAAAUUUAAUGAUUCUUUUGAUGAGGAAUACAAAUAUGUGUUUUAUUAUUUGCUUGUUGGUUUGCCUACAAGUUUAAGCAAUAAUUGGUUCCCACUGGGAGAUUGCACGUGAUACAAAUUAAUAACAUUACGCGCUUCUCUUAUAUUGUACAUUCAUCCGUAUAAGAGUAUUUGUGGCUUCGAAGUGUGAUUUACCUUUCCUCGCACGUUGUUGUUCACUAAAAAAUCUUCUUAUUCGAUUAAAAGUAAUACAAAGCCGUCAUUAGCACAACAAAUGUGUGAAACGGUCAAUUGGCAAAUAUCUUCCAUUACAUCUGAGACCAUUUCAAUCAUCGAAAUUCCAAUAGUAGAGAAGGCAUAAAAGAUGUAUUGAAUCGGUUGUGAAGAAACGUUCAACAUUUAUUUCGAAAGAGGCACAACGAAUAUCCAGCACCACUUGAGGCGCUAAGCAGUGCACUGACAAAGGGCAAGAGUUGCUGGCGAUGCCUUUGUGGCUUUGUUAGUGACGAACAGGCAGUAUGUGUUAAUGUAUAGGUGAAAAGAAGAAAUAUUCUAAGCCUGCCAUUGCUCAGUUUUGUUGUUGCGUAGCGCAAACGACAAGAAUGAGCAUCAGGUUAGACAACAGUCAACAACCUGUACGAAUUGGUGAGAACAACCAAAGCAUUAUGCUUAGAAUACUUGAAAAUGAGAACAACAAAUAAGGAAAGUAAGAGAAAAGCAUUGAUAGCCGUGCUCUAUUUCAUUAGCGCUCUUUACUUUAGGAAAUGCUUUGCACUCCGAAAAUGUGACUUCAAAUCUACACUAGCGGAGGAGAGACGAAUAUUUUAAACGACAACAGCAAUCAUCGGCAGAAGAGAAACACAAUGGCACAAUGGCAAAACAUAUGAUAGCACGGUAACCGAGCAGAAGCCGUUCGUCAUCAUUAACGUCGUUUAAGCCGGAAGGUGUACGAGCGAACCAACGAGACUGGCAAGUGUGUUCAAGGUGUGGACGGAGGGAAUGACGGACGGGGAAACACAUAAGCAUGGGAUACCUUCGCCAGCAAGCCGUAUUUGGUUGGCGCAUACAUCGCCUUCGCAAUCGUGAAUGUUGAUGACGAUGAUGAAGAACGGACUAAAUACCAAAAACAUGCACAUAUACACACAGAUGUAGCUCUCAUGCAUACGCUUUCAUAAAAAAGGUGGCCUGAAGAGAGUCGAUUAAGUUAAUCAGGCUCGCAGUAGGCAGGCAAACAACCAUCACACGGUUAUGUGCUUAUUGAGGAUGGUGAUGAUGAUGAUGAUGAUGAUGAUGAUGAUGAUGAUGGUGAUGGUGGUUGUUGGCUAUUCGCGUUAUACGAGCACACGAGCGAAGCGACGAAUUCAACAGAUUCAAAAUCCGAACUCCGAAUGAAAAAUUGGUAUAUUACCUUAGAAUGCCAGUCGUUCUUACUUCAGUCUUCGUACAGUCUUUGCUUUAACCCGUUCCAAUUCUGUCCGCCGUCGCUCUAUUAAAUAAUUACAACAACAACAGCAAAAAAAUCAAGUACAACAAAAAUAAACAAAAUAUCUCAAACAAGCAAAACGAGAAACGCAAAAACAAAAAUUCAAUACUAAAAUUUUACAAAAUUCCAAUACUUAGUAGCUAGCGGUCGCGAAAAUACCAACAAAAGCAAAAACAAAACCGACACUCGCAAAAGGGCACCAGCAGCAGCAGUAGCAACAGCAACAGAAGUAGUGGAGUAGCAACAGGGUCUCAGUUAUCAACAACAUUGCCGUAUUCACCCCCGCUCCAACAUCGUCACCGUCGUGCCGUCACUGCUGUUCUGAACAUAGACGUCGCAGUCGCAGUUAAAGUCAGCGCCAAAGUCGAAGCCCACAGUCAAGCGUCAGCAGUCGAACGUCAACACACGACGACAAAGGCCAGCGAGCAAAGUCAGAGGAGAGGAAGAAGACUCCGCGCAUAGCACACAGAAUUUCAAUAUCCAAAUCAAAGUUGCGUUCAAAUCGAACACGGCCGCAAUAGUAGCAACACCGUAGCACCGAAACACGCGGACUCGACUCUUGAGAUAAUAGCUAACCUUACCUACUAGUGAAUACUACGACGACGACUAAGAUCAAAAUUAGUUAUCAAAGAUAUCAACAGAAAGUUGCAAAAUAUUUUCCGCUUUCCGUUGAAUUGGUUUACCAGUCAUACGAAAUUCGAAUAAUUUCGCAAAUUCAAAACCAGCUUUGAAAAGUUCUUUAGUGCAAGUGCGUGUAAAAAUUUGCGAGCAACAAAAUAAAAGAUUGAAAAACUGAUUGAAGGCCGCUGAGUAUAAGCUAUUGGAACAAUUGCGUUCGAAAAUUAAACAAAUAAAAAAAGUAUUUUUGCAGUAGUUGCCUAAAAAUUGGUAAAUUUCAACACACAAAUUAAUAAAUGCAGUAGCAGCCGCCAAUUAACUUCGUUUUCUUCCUUGACAAAUAAUCUGCAAAAUUUUACUCAGAACUCUUGACACUUUAGCGAAGAGAAAAAAAAACGACAAAUAAAACAGUAAAUCGCAACAGCAAAACUCAAACUAAAAAACCGCGGUGGCAUUUUAUCCUAUAUCAAACCAAAGCUAAUUUCCCCACUCAUAUCAAUCACACUCUCAAGCAUCUCAAAAAGUUUCCAUAAACAAAUCACGAAAAGAAUUAAACCAAAAAGCUGGCAUCUUGUAUUUUGCACUACAGCAAAUUGUUGCUAUUUUUUAAUUAACGAAAAUUGCAUAUUACGUAAAAAUUUCACAUGCCCUUUCUCUGACUGUUGUAUAUUUACAAAAAAGCACUCAUUCUUGAAAAUAGAAAAUCUAUUCUGCAAAUAGACGAAAGCUGCACCAUAGCAAAAAGCUCCAAUAAAAAGAGCCGAUCUCACCAGCCACUUUCGUACGAAGAAUAUCGUAAGAUAUAAUAUUGAAAAAAAAGAAGAGUAUUCGAUGAAAAAUUUACUACAAAUUUACAAACAUUUAAAUUAUUUAUACAAAGCCCAAACCCAAGCGAGGAAAAUAUAAACAAAAACAAAAAAAAUUAAAAAAUAAUUAUAAUAAAAAUUCAAAGCUGAGGCAACUGUUGAGUUGAUAUAUUAACAACAUUUCUGUUAAGUUAACAUUGAAAAAGUUAGCAUAGCAGGCGCUGAUGAAUAACAGCCAAAUACGUGAAAAGUGAAAAUCCAAAUAGAGCACCCAAAUAAUUUUGAAAAAAGAAAAGAAAAUAAUUUUACAGUAAUUGAAAGGUUGUUGAAUAUUUGAUUUUACACACACACACAGAAGGAAAUAUAUAUAUACAUAUAUAUACGUCAAGAGAUCAGAAAAACUCAAAGAAAUAAUUUUAUUAUUACAUAUCAGUGUUAGGACAAUUGUAGUAUUAAACAGGAGGAAGGAAAAAAUUAGGAAUUGUUUAGACAAAAUCGCAAUCAGCAGAUAAUUGUUUAAAACCAAAGUAUUGUAAGAAGGUUGUUUAUGUACCGAAAACAAAAAGAGAAAAAAAAAAAAAGCAAAACAAGCAUCAAAAAAGCAAAUAUAUCAACCAAAAUCAACACAAAAACAGCAUUGUAAUCAAAGUCAAUUUCGAAGCAUAUUUAUAGGCGUGACAACCGCAUAGCAUAGCAAACAAAUUGUCAAUCAGAAAUGCGCAUUAUUUGAAUAGUGCAACAAUUCGGCACUCUCUCGAACUCAUUCUUUUUGUGAAAUAUUUCCAAGCAAAGCAAAAACAAAGAACAAAAAACUAAAAAAGGAGAAACCAAAACCCGAAAAUACAAAGUAAUUUAACUGAAGAAUUUACUUAUAUUUAAUUAAGUGUUUAGCAGCGCGCGUGAGUGUAUUUUCUGCGGCACCCAUUUAGGCAUAAUACAGUAAGAUUCAAUAUUUUUAAGAACCCCUUCAGCUUUGGUGCAACAAUCAACGCACCAAACUGACAAGAAAGUAAGCGUUUUGACAAUCAGCAGACGUUAGCAUAUAUAUACAUACAUACAGAUAAAUACAUGCUUGCAAAAGGUAUUUGUAUGGGAGAAGUAUUUAUGAAAGUAGAAAAAAUUUAACGGAAUCAAUAGAAGUAUUAGAAAAAAACUCAGCAUUGUAUUUGCUAUUUUCACUCAAAAGCAAAAAAAAAUAAAUAAAUUAAAAGCAGUAAUCAGCAACUUGACUCUAUACAACCUUACACAAUCAAUCUUUACAAAUUCUACAAUCCAAUCUCUUGAACAAACCAAUUCUGCGACCUACAAUCUCAAACUAAAACGCGCUGUGUGAUCUAUUAAGGAGAAGAGAGUGGCAAUUCUUUUAACCUAAAUCGAUCUUAAAUCUUAAUCUAAACUUGACAAUCCGUAAGCCCCAUAUUUGUGAAAAUAAAUAUUUCUAAGACCUCUACUUGCUAUACAAAAACAAAAACAAAAAACACUACAUUUUACUACUCUUUGUAAACAUUAAAUAUUUAAAAACGAAAAAACAAAAAACAUACGUACUUCGAUAUUUCGAUACUAAAAUAGCUCACUUGCAUACAUACAUACAUACUAACUAAUUCAACUUACUAACAUAUACAACUAACUGUAUUUCCGUAUUAAAUAUAUUUACUAUUUGUAGCGCAACCUUGACGUGAUUUAUAGAACUAACGCAUAAAUUUACAGUAAAAAAACAACUAAAAAAAAUUUCAAGUAUUGAAAAAUACUAAUAAAGAGAAACUUCUGCACAACUUAUUGACAAUCUUUCACCCAACAUCUAUUUAUCAAUAUCUAUUUUAUCAAAACGUAUAUAUAUCUAUACAUACAUAUAUAUAUACACAUAUAUAUCUACAUAUAUAAAUAUUUCUAGCCGUAAUCAACCAUUUGUGGUAUCUACGUACACGUGCAUUAAACGCCCGCGCUGUGUCUAUUCAAUCACACACUUGUGACAAUCUACAGUUUUCUUGAAAACAAAAAACACUAAUACAAGUCAAAAUUGGCAAAUAUUAUUUAAUCUGAAGCGUUUCAGACUUUUACCUUCAAAGCAAAACUCAUACACGAUUUUAGCAAACUAUCAAUUACAUAUAAGAUAUUUCGCUUAUUAGUUUUACGCAAAAACGGUGAAUAAGGAAACUAUUUCCAAGCACUACAUACAUACAUUUAAUCAAAAAUUUUAAAUCAAAAGCAAAAAAAAAAUACUUUUUUUUAAAUAAAUUUCGACUUUGUAGUUACAAUAAACAAACAAAAAAAAAAAAUUAUAGUAGCACCAACUUUGUAGUAUUAUCAUAGAGAAUUAAAAAAAGUGAGAUUACUUUAGCGUACAUAGCGUUUAAGUAUCAGCAUAUCAAUUAAAAAAAAAAAAAAAACUCAAAAAAGAAGAGCACAAAAAUUAGCUAAAAAACAACCCCAAGUAUUGUAAAGCAACAAUUUGUGUACGAAAAGAAGUUUUCAAAACCUUUCCAAAACAUCAAACACAAUCAUCACUUCGUAUUCACAAUCAUUGAACAAAUCAAGCCAACCUUGUGAAUCCUUGCCAUCCUUUCAAUCCCUUAAAACAUCCUGUGCAUGCCACACGCAACUCGACUACAAAGCCAACAAAGUGUAAUCAAAAUCAACAGAAAAGCGCGCUGAUAAAAGAAAAACAGUCGAAAUUACUACGACAAAUUCGCAAAACGAAAGAAAAAUAACAACAAACAUAAGAAGGUGCAAAAAAAAAAAAACAAAAAGCAACAAGCAAAAAAAACAAAAUACAACUACAAACACAGAAAAAAUAAGAAUUUUAAAAUAACGCGCAAAAUCAGAAUCACAAAAAAACAAAAUAGCUAAAAUAAACGCAUAUAAAAAUUAUCAAUUAAAAGAAAAAAAGGUUUUAAAUAAAAAUAAAAAUAUAAGUCAGACCAAACUAAAGAACUUCCUUAAAGACAAUUCUACUAUCCACUCAGUGUCACUGUGCUAUAGUGAAAACUCAAGUGUGUAAAACCUACUGAGCUACACGCAAAAAGAAAACUCAUUGAAAAAUUUAUAAGUCACAUAAUUCGACAACAAUAACAGCAGUAUAAAAAAAGCAUUCAUCAUUGACGCGUUAAAAGAAACAGUUGCAACAACAGCUUCAGUAACAGCGGCUUUGGCAACAGCAACAAUCAAAGAAGAACCUGUAAAAGAUUUAAUUAUGGUAAGACUCGAUGAACAACUUUUAUGUAAAUUAAAUAAUUUGGUAAGCGAAUAAUUUAGUAGAAUAAAAAUAUGUUGAUGUGAAUAGUGUUGGAAAAUAUUAGGAUACUAUUCAGCCAUGGUUGAUAUGCUGCUUGCGCUGUGUUUACCCACAGGGCAGCCGUAGAUUUAAAAUCUGUGGCGGAUGAGUUCACAAAAACAAAAACAAAGCAACCAAAUUUUCCAUUUUUAUUAUUAUUAUUAUUCACAAUUUGAAGACCUUUCUAAGCUUCAAAAAUCUAUUGAACAACCGAUUUUUAUUUUUGCCUUAAGACAAGCUCGAUUCGUUUCUAGCACUCAAAAAAUUUGUUAAAAGAUAUUUCUUCUUUCGGGGCUUAAGCGAUGUUCAAUGGCCUUCUAGUCCCAAAGAAUCUUUUCAAAAAUAGUUUGUCAUUUUUUAAGAAAUGUUCGAUAGGAUUUUUUAAGCAAUAUUCCUCCUAAUUUGGAGCUAAUCAAUCUUCUCUUUUGGGCUUAAGCGAUGUUCGAUGGCCUUCUAGUCCCAAGGAAUCUUUUCAAAAAGAGUUUGUCGUUUUUUAAGAAAUGGAGCUAAUCAAUAUUCUUAACCUUGCUUGUCUUAGGGUGACCCAAGGCAUAAUACAACUGUUUAUGACUACAAGAAGUUUCACUGCGCACAGGGUAAAUUUCUAGCCCAUUUCUUCUGGUUGAAGUGAACCGCAUUAUUAAACGUCGAGUACUUUAGCCUUUGAUCUUUAUAUUUCUGUAGAGUGAAAUACGAAUUAACAAAAGACAUCUCUAUGGUUUUGUCAGUUAUUUAACUCUAAUUUCUGCAACAAAAUACAAUAAAUAGUGGAAAAAACAUAAAAUAAACAAAAAGUAAUAAAUAAAAAUACAAAAAAUAAUAAAUAAAAAUAUAAGAAUAUAAAAAAACCAAUAAAAUGAAAAAAUAAAUUCACUAAUUAAAAAAAAAGGAUAGAAAAACUAAAAAAACAUCGAUUCUAUCCCUUCUUAAUAAAUAAUUUCAAAUGAGCUCCAAACAACUAUCUAGCUGAUAAAUUCUUUCUGUAACAACAAAUGUGAUCCCUAUGCAUAAAUCGUGGGACACACUUUUUUUAUUGUCUAGGGAAAAUUUCGCAUGCACAUGAAAAACUAUAGAUCUUAUAUACUAACGAGUCAUAUUCAGGUUUUAAAUAAGUUUAAUAUUUUAAAGGACUUUAAAGUUUGAAAAGACUAUAUGAAAAAAGUGUGAUUUUUUGAAGAUCGUUUUUUUUUUUUUGUUUUGUUUUUUUUGUUUGAAGAAUAUGAUUUUUUGUUUUUAGAAGAUCGAUAAAAUUUUGCCACAUUCCGUCUUCAAAUUGAAGCUUAAUAUUUAAUUACAAGGACCGCUAUUUCUUUUACGUGCUUACGAAAUUUUAAGAUGUGCGGUCGACAGUUUCACGCGCAAGUUGGAUAUUUCCGGAAUACAAAAGAGGAAUUCACAGAGAGAAUGUUGGUUCAAAUCUCGAUGAAACCAAAAUUAAUAAAAAAAAAAUUUUUCUAAUAGCGGUCGCCCCUCGGCAGACAAUGGCAAACCUCCGAGUGUAUUUUUGCCAUGAAAAAGCUUUUCAUAAAAAUAUCUUCCGUUCGGAGUCGGCUUGAAACUGUAGAUCCCUCCAUUUGUGGAACAACAUCAAGAUGCACACCACUAAUAGGAGGAGGAGCUCGGCCAAACACCCAAAGAGGGUGUACGUGCCAAUUAUAUCUAUAUAUAAAGAUAUGCAGGCCGGUUUUGUAAUUCACCUCCAAGUGAAAUCUUUUGGCAAGUGCAUUGAAACUCACUAGGAAAUUAAUUUUAGAGCCAUCACGAUAGGUUUGGUUUAAGCUUCUUAACAUCUACCUAUUUUAGUGGAGCCAAAUUAGGCGAAAGCAAUUCAAAAAUAUGCGAUUGAUCUAAAAAAUAUUGUAAUAUUGUAGUCGAGGUAUUUCGCAAGACGCCUCUAACGUCAUAUACGCAUUUGAUGCACUUUGUACUACCAGGCUCACAAUCGGUCCAAAUAGUCAUCAUUGUUCGUUUGAAAUUUGUUUUAUAGAAAUGAAAAUUCGCUUGCUAAAAACGUUUGCCCCCGGCGAGAGCUAAAACAUUAUUCAGAACAGCUUGAUAAAAUACAUAGAAAAACGUGGCUUCGAUCUCUUCAACACAUCAGUACGCAAGUUGAACAAUACAUUCAAAGAUUUCUUUUGCCUGCCAACGUCAUUUGAAAUUGGCAAAUCGUGGCUUAUUUGUUGCACCUUCUUCGUUUGCGCUUACCGUUCGCUUAGCAAAUUCCUUUUAUUAUUUCGCCUGCACGAGUGUGUGUGUGCGUGUACUUGCGAAUCUGUGGCAUUAACCUACCAAUUGCCUUUUUGACCCACCACACCUUUCACCAACUCACUGCACUACACUGCUGACACCGCCGCACAAAAUCUUAUUCACACACUAAAGCACCUUUGGAAUUUCAUACCUCCAGUUUCAAGCACAGCAUAGUGAGCACUAUAAUUGAAUUUUAAAUAAGCCCAUCCAUUUACUGAGUUACCUACAUGCUCGCAUUUGCCAUUUUUGUUGCUCUCGUAUGCUGGUGUGUUGUGUGUAUGUUGAUUGCCAUUACUUGCUUAUAUGUGUACUGUCUACAUUUAACUGUAAAUAAAUUUAGUAGAUUUUUCUUACGAACUUACCAUCAACCGAGUACCUGGCACUUAAACUAUCGCAUUUUAUGUGGUACUGUGCGUACAGCUCCCAAAAGUAGUGUGGCAGCAGCAGCAGCAGCAAUAGCAGCUUUCGCAGUCAGGUUCUUAUGACUACUUGGGUAUAUGAAAUACUCGAGUUCACAUGCAUACAUACAUACAUACAUGCAUAUAUUUAACUCAUAUUUGCCGCUAGUGUGGCUUCGAGCAAUGCUUUAGUGCAUAUAUACAUGCUUAUACAUAUAUUUCUGCAGUGUAUGCGCUCGUGUCGCCAACAAACCAACCAGUUAGCGAACGGCCAACCUGUCGUAUACGUAAUGUAAUCUCAUUGGACGGGUGCUGUGCACUACUUAAAUUCGUACGUUUGCCGACUAUUUCGUGCUUUCCUUCGUUCUUAUUAUUGUUGUGCAUGGCUGUGGCAUUUUCAGCAUCUUCGUGCACUUCAUUUCAGCGUAAUUCACUUAUGUGAGUACCUACACACACUUAUGUACACACGAAUACAUACAUGCAUGUAUAUGGCCCAUGUGUUGUGCUCUUGGAUAUGUGCUUCAAUUGAUUUUGGUGCUGCAUUGGCAUUCUUGCUAUCGUUCUUCUUCUUCCUAUUUUGGCCUCUAAAUUGACAGUUAAGAGUGUAUUUUCUGCAGCUUACUAUUUUUUACGGUUCAAUAACAGGAUUUGCACUCAGCUUAUAUGCGAUUUUCUUGUGAAAAUGCACUGAAAUUUUAUUUUAGUUUUUUCUCUUCACUUCUUUUGGGCUAUGUAUGGCACCGAAGAUACUUCGAAUUUUGUCUAUGGAAACGUUUUUUUGUUAUUACCUCAUAGGAUGGGUAAUGAAAUGCAGCUAAAUUAAAUAAUAUGAGUUGACUGCUGUGAGGUUUGGAUAUACCUAUAAAGAAAAUGGAGACUUAAAAAAUUGGGUGGCAAGCAUAAUGUGCUAAAUAUGACUUCGUAACUUCUACAUUGUGAAUGCAAUCGAAAGGUUUUAUAGUUUUUGGAAUUACCAACUCGUUUUCAUUUUAAAUUAGAAGAGGGUUGUUAUACGAUACGACUGUUGGGUCGUUGCUAAUCUUUUUGUACCCCCACACGUCCAUCGUUUUUUGAACUUAGUCCGUCACUACGUGCCAAUCGCAGAUGUGUAUGAAAAUUGAGCAGAACUCAAUCAAAAUUUACUGCGUUAGGCAUAUUCCACAUUUGCUAUUUAUUUCGUUGUCAUGGUUUCUUCGUCAAUUCUGCCAAAAAUUGGUGAAUUUGUAGGCUUGAGUAUAAUAAGAAGCAAAUUUAAAAAAAUUAAUGAAAAUUUAAUAUUUUUUCUUUUCUUUGUAACAUUUUUUUAUGAUGUAUGAAGUGAACUGUUUUUUGGGAAAAGAAAAAUUAUUUUGAAACUUUCACGGCUUAAUGAGCACAGCCUUAGCUGAAAAUAGGAAUAAUAACUAAAACAUAUGAGUUUGUUUUGAAAAAAAAAAAAAAAAAAAAAAAACACAAACAAAAAUAAAAAUGUUUUUCCGAAUUUUUUUAACAAUUAUUUUUCCCAAAAAAAUUAUAUUUCAAAAAGCUACAAAGCUAAAAAUAUACCUAAAAAUAUUUAAAACAAUGGAUAGCAAAAUUUCCAAAAUAGAAUAAACCUCAAAAAUUCUAAAUGUUUUCCAAAAUUUUUUCAUUUUACUGCUUACGAGUAUUCUAAUCAAAGUCCUAAAAUACGGAAAUUUUUAGAAGAAUUGUCCAAAGUGCUUGGAUCCAUUGGAAUCGUUCGCGUCAUACAAAAAAAAAAAAAAAAAAAAAAAAAAAAAAAGAU